GCGCCGUUGCUGGGGAGUCCGGAAGCGGCGCUGACAGGACGGCGCGCGGAGGCGCUGCCGGCCGAGGCGGCCGCUUCCCGGCCCAGCUCGGUCGGGCUCAGCCCAGCCCGUGGCGGUUGCGGGCCGCCCCGCCCCGGCCGCCGAGAGAGAAGCAGAAGUUUUAACCAUCUUCCCAUGACAUCUGACUUUUUUGAGGAGGAGAAUACACCCGGGAGCAGAAACAGCGAGGUCCGUGAUGGGGAAAAUGAAUCCAGCAGUCCGUCAUAGCUGGUACCUGCCUGAGUACAGGAAGAGACCUUGUACAAAGACAGAAUGCAUCUGGGCUUGCAGCUCUUUUUCACCGUAUUAAGUCCUAUUCAGAGUUAAUAAUGAGCUCAGUGAGACUGGCCUAAGCAGUGCUGAAGUAGGGAAGAACAGAGUUGGAAGGCAGGAACUCUUUCAAAGCAGGAUUCUUCUUCUUUCCGUAACACCCAAACACAAAGACUUUAUAAACUUCAUUAGGUCCUGCCAUCAAUGACUGAGCCUCCCUGAAAUCUUCUUAGCAGUUACUGCCGAGAUGAGAAGGAUAACAGGAAGGAGGAGUGCUUAAGUGGUUUUAAUGACAGUUAAUUUCAUCUAUUUAUCAAAUGACAGGUUGUUUUUUCCUCAAAACUCGAUUGUCAUGACAAGAUGCUUUUGGAAGUCAUCUUUGUAAAAUAAAACUGACAAUUUUUAGGC